GCCCGGGUGGCGAAAUCGGUAGACGCAAGGGACUUAAAAUCCCUCGACCGCGGUCAUGCGGGUUCGAGUCCCGCCCCGGGCACCA
rnacentral:tRNA from 1 species